rnacentral:lncRNA from 1 species
CAACUUUUCGCCAGUCUUGCUCCACCGUCUUACGUCCAAGACCAAUCGUUCAACUUCGCAUUAAGUUUGAACCCGGAACUGCCAUCAUCCGUCUCAUUUGCUGACAAUAAUAUCAUCAGCACUGCAACGCAAACCGUUGCUUCUAGCUUCAGCGGUUACCUAGCUAACUUGUCGCCUCGAUCUCAGCAACAAGGAUAUAGAACCGGGCCGCAGCCUGAGAGCGUUGUCGAUCUAUACUUGGUCCUCGACUUUAUGUGGGAGUUUUUAGAGGCUCGCAGGAUCCUUACAUAUUUGGUUGACCAGUUCGACAUCAGCCCGCAGAGCAGCAGAUUCUUCCUGGUUAAUGGACGGGAUGGCAACAUAGUGAUAAACGCAACUUAUUCUUGCUUGGAUUUCCAUCUCAAUUUCACAGAAAACGCAUACCGAGCUCAACCGACGGGCUAUGACCAGCUGCGAGUGCUCAUGGAGCUGCGGCAGCACUUCAAAUGGCGCAUGGACGUAGAUCGAAUCAGCAACCAGGGCGGUGGACCACCGCGUGUCGUUCUAUUUAUGCCCCAUGUCACUUCCGUCACUUAUGACAAAGACAGAGACGACCUAUGGAGUAUCACAGAGGACUUCAGGCGAAACCUUCCAGAUGUGCAUUUUAUAACUACUGGUGCCAAGGACAGGUCCGGUCUCAGUUUGUAUGAUGACUACAAAGACGUGUUCACUUUAUACCUAGCAGAUCUGCGCGGCUCCGUGGAGCCGAUUGUAAAUAGGAUUAAUCAGAGUAAGCAUCCUUGUUGCAUUUCUUCAGUUCUUUCUAGUCAUUCCCCUCUUAACGUACCCUCCACAUUUCAAUUGCGAUUGUCUAUACUUCCCUUUUUACCUAGGGGGUCAAUUCUGCCUUCAGUAACCCACAAAAAUCAGCUCCUCCCUCGCUGUUCGAUUGCGUUAGGGCAACUCUCCUGUUGA